AUACGUAACCUGGCAGAGAAUAUACCCUGAUCACAAAGGUGGUUUUCCCAGGGCAAGGCUUAUCCAUUGCACUCCAGGUGUGCUGACCCCUGUGAUUUCCCCAAAUGUGGGAAACUCGACUGCAUAAUUUGUGGUAGUGGGGGAUUGUGUUUACAUUCUUCCCUA